UCCAGACUCCUACGGGAGGCAGCAGUGAGGAAUAUUGGUCAAUGGGCGGAAGCCUGAACCAGCCAAGUCGCGUGAGGGAAUAAGGCCCUACGGGUCGUAAACCUCUUUUGCCGGGGAGCAAGGGCGGGGACGUGUCCCGGCCCGGAGAGUACCCGGAGAAAAAGCAUCGGCUAACUCCGUGCCAGCAGCCGCGGCAAUACGUAGGGAGCAAGCAUUGUCCGGAAUUACUGGGCGUAAAGGGCGCGUAGGUGGGCGCUUGAGUCAGGUGUGAAAACUCCGGGCUCAACCUGGAGACUGCACUUGAAACUGGGUGUCUUGAGGGCAGGAGAGGAAAGUGGAAUUCCUAGUGUAGCGGUGAAAUGCGUAGAUAUUAGGAGGAACACCAGUGGCGAAGGCGACUUUCUGGACUGUACCUGACGCUGAGGCGCGAAAGCGUGGGUAGCGAACGGGAUUAGAUACCCGUGUA
rnacentral:rRNA from 1 species